rnacentral:rRNA from 1 species
UACGUAGGGGGCAAGCGUUGUCCGGAUUUAUUGGGCGUAAAGAGCGUGUAGGCGGCUAGAUAGGUCCGUUGUGAAAACUCGAGCUCAACCUCGAGACGCCGGUGGAAACCAUCUAGCUAGAGUCCGGAAGAGGAGAGUGGAAUUCCUGGUGUAGCGGUGGAAAUGACGCAGAUAUCAGGAAGAACACCCGUGGCGAAGGCGGCUCUCUGGUACGUGACUGACGCUGAGACGCGAAAGCGUGGGGAGCGAACAGG